GACAGAGGGUGCAAACGUUGCUCGGAAUCACUGGGCGUAAAGGGCGCGUAGGCGGCCUGAUAAGUCGGGGGUGAAAGCCUGUGGCUCAACCACAGAAUUGCCUUCGAUACUGUUAGGCUUGAGACCGGAAGAGGUAAGUGGAACUGCGAGUGUAGAGGUGAAAUUCGUAGAUAUUCGCAAGAACACCAGUGGCGAAGGCGGCUUACUGGUCCGGUUCUGACGCUGAGGCGCGAAAGCGUGGGGAGCAAACAGG
rnacentral:rRNA from 1 species